rnacentral:rRNA from 1 species
UACGUAGGGGCGAGCGUUGUCCGGAAUUAUUGGGCGUAAAGGGUACGCAGGCGGUUCUUUAAGUCUGAUGUGAAAUCUCACAGCUUAACUGUGAGCGGUCAUUGGAAACUGAGGAACUUGAGUAUAGAAGAGAAGAGUGGAAUUCCAAGUGUAGCGGUGAAAUGCGUAGAUAUUUGGAGGAACACCAGUGGCGAAGGUGACUCUUUGGUCUAUUACUGACACUGAGGCACGAAAGCGUGGGGAGCAAACAGGAUUAGAUAUCCCCGUA